rnacentral:rRNA from 1 species
GUCUACAGUCAUACCAUCCUGAAUGCACCUGAUCUCGUUUGAUCUUGGAAGCUAAGCAGGGUGGGGCCUGGUUAGUACUUGGAUGGGAGAACAGGUUGGUAACUAUGUUAUUCCUUGCU